AUGGUCUUCAAGUCUGGAUCCUCCUGUCUCUACCUCCAAGUGUCAAGAUUACAGCCCUGCACCACCGCCAAGUGUCUAAGAUACUUUGACGAAGAAGGGCCUCUUGGAAAAACCAGAAAUAAACCAGCACUUGCUCCAGGAGUUCUCUCCCCAAGAAGAAAUUCUAGUCUGAGGCCAGGGUUAAGACAUCAUCAUAUCCGGUAGCUGCCUUGCCCAUGUGAUAGGUGAUCAAGCCCCAGGACAUGGAGAUGCCAUUAUGGGUGCUCUUUCUAAUUUUCAGCUUGGUUUAACUUGAAAACAAUGAUAAUCACUUCCAAGUCAAUAAAAUUAAUUCUACAUAAAACAUGUACUGAAUAGAAAAAGACAAAAUGUAAAAGUUAAUCGUGGGUGUAUCUAUAGGAUCCCAAGCAACAAGAAGCCUAAAGCUUGAAAGGGUUAGGUAGUUUCUUGGCCCUAGGUCAGACCUGCUUGGACUACUGGGCUCUAGAUGUUUGAGAUGGUAGGGUUAGUGUUUUCUUUUGUUGUCUCCUUUCUCUAAAAGGUCUCAUGUCACUCAGACUGUUUGUAAACUGUAUCCAUAGCCAAAGAUAACCUAGACUUCCAAUGUCUAUGUUCCAAGUGCUAGCAGCAUAGGCAUACACCACCAUACCAGCUUUGUUUUUUUCUUACUAUCUAUCAAAAAUAGUUGCGAAAAUAACAUAUCUAUUUGGGGGGCCUGCUUGUCUUUGUAAAAUCAUUUACACCUAGACAGCAUGGAGUUAUUCCUGUUAUAAAUAUCCCAUACCAGCUUCUCAACAUGGAGCCUAGUGUAGUGACUGGAUUAAAACUGGGACUCUGAUAUCAGAUGACCUAUAUUCAAAGUUUGGCUAUGUGAUCUAUAUCAUGUCUCUUAGUACUUUUACUUUAGUACCUACAGCCUGGAUAUAACAAUUCAUCUCUGAGAAGUGGGCUAUGGGAAUUAAACCAUUUACUAGGUCAAAAGUCAUCGGGAGAGUUCCUGACUCAUACUAAGUGCUAGUAAAUGUUGGCUGAAAAGACCUUACUUGGGGCUAGGGAGAGGGUUCAUAAAGCUAAUGCCCCCGAAGUAGGAUGGCCAGAGUUCAUAUCCCCAGCAGACCUACAAAUGGCAGGUGGAUGCGGCAGCCCACCUGUAAUCUUAGAACUCAGGAGGCUGAGACAGGGGAUCACUGGAGCAAGCUGGAUUGCAAGAUGAGCCCGACUGGCAAGCUCUGGGUUCAAGUGAAAUAUUCUGUCCUUAUGCAUAAGAUAAAGACUGAUCAAGGAAGACAUUAACACCAACCUCGUUCAAUGUGUAUCCUAGCUAAAGAAUCCAAAAUGUAAGGAAGCCAGUUGUUGGGGGUUUUUUGUUUUUGUUUUUUGGGGUUUUUUGUUUUUUGUUUUUUGUUUGCUUGUUUCUUUCUUUCUUUGUUUGUUUUAAGUAGUCCAUAAGCCUUUUCCUAUGGAGAAAUAUUACCUUUACAGUGGUCAGCCAGGUUUGGUAGACUGGCAAAUCAUUGCUUUGGAAAAGGGACCUCCCAUUCCCUCUAAAGCUGUCCAGGAUACAAACAUCCUUGAGAAGCCAGUGGGGAAGACAUACAUGGUGAACAGUGGUUGCUCGUCAAUAUAUGCAUCACUCUGAUGUAUCUUGUACCCCAAUAAAAGAUGAUUGAAAGUGCUACAUCAAGGGUUCGGGAAUAAUUUCACAUCUUAUACCGUUGAGUUAGGGUCUCACAUUGGUCCCAGAGUUUGCCAGUUUGGCUCAUCUAACAAGCCAGCUUGCUCCAGGGAUUUCCCAUCUCUGCCUUGUGAAUUCUAGGAUUAUAGGUGGGUUCCUAUGUCCACUUGCCAUUUGUGUGUCUGCUGAGGACCUAAACUCUACUCCUCCUGCUAUGGUGGCCAAGUGCUUUCUUCACUGAGCAGUGUCUCCUGCCCCCAACUAAGAAAUUUUUUUUAGUCUUGUAUCAUGACCUAAAGUCUUGAUUUUUUCCAACUUUAUUACAUUGGGUAUUUCUUAUUUACAUUUCAAAUGUUAUUCCCUUUCCCGGUUUCCCAGGCCAACAUUCCCCUAACU
rnacentral:lncRNA from 1 species